GACGAACGCUGGCGGCGUGCUUAACACAUGCAAGUCGAACGGAAAGGCCUGCUUUCCCUUGUGGAUUGCGGGUACUCGAGUGGCGAACGGGUGAGUAACACGUGAGUGAUCUGCCCCCAACUUGGGUAUAAGCCUGGGAAACUGGGUCUAAUUCCCGAUAGGACUGCAGGGUGGUGCCUGUGGUGGAACACGAUUUUCUAGUGGUUGGGGAUGAGCUCGCGGCCUAUCAGCUUGUUGGUGGGGUAAUGGCCUACCAAGGCGGCGACGGGUAGCCGGCCUGAGAGGGUGGACGGCCACAGUGGGACUGAGAUACGGCCCAGACUCCUACGGGAGGCAGCAGUGGGGAAUAUUGCACAAUGGGCGGAAGCCUGAUGCAGCGACGCCGCGGGGGGGAUGACGGGCUUCGGGUUGUAAACUCCUUUCGACCGCGAGGAAGCCACCUGGUUGGAAGGGUGGUGACGGUAGUGGUAGAAGAAGCACCGGCUAACUACGUG
rnacentral:rRNA from 1 species